rnacentral:tRNA from 1 species
GGAGGGGUGGCCGAGCGGUUUAAGGCACCGGUCUUGAAAACCGGCGUGCGCGCAAGCGCACCGUGGGUUCGAAUCCCACCCCCUCCGCCA